ACUCCUACGGGAGGCAGCAGUGGGGAAUAUUGGACAAUGGGCGCAAGCCUGAUCCAGCCAUGCCGCGUGAGUGAUGAAGGCCCUAGGGUUGUAAAGCUCUUUUGUGCGGGAAGAUAAUGACGGUACCGCAAGAAUAAGCCCCGGCUAACUACGUGCCAGCAGCCGCGGUAAU
rnacentral:rRNA from 1 species